rnacentral:rRNA from 1 species
AUUGAACGCUGGCGGCAGGCCUAACACAUGCAAGUCGGACGGUAGCACAGAGAGCUUGCUCUUGGGUGACGAGUGGCGGACGGGUGAGUAAUGUCUGGGGAUCUGCCCGAUAGAGGGGGAUAACCACUGGAAACGGUGGCUAAUACCGCAUAACGUCGCAAGACCAAAGAGGGGGACCUUCGGGCCUCUCACUAUCGGAUGAACCCAGAUGGGAUUAGCUAGUAGGCGGGGUAAUGGCCCACCUAGGCGACGAUCCCUAGCUGGUCUGAGAGGAUGACCCGCCACACUUGAACUGAGUCACGGACCAGACUCCUACGGGAGGCAGCAGUGGGGAAUAUUGCACAAUGGGCGCAAGCCUGAUGCCGCCAUGCCGCGUGUAUGAAGAAGGCCUUCGGGUUGUAAAGUACUUUCAGCGGGGAGGAAGGCGACGCGGUUAAUAACCGCGUCGAUUGACGUUACCCGCAGAAGAAGCACCGGCUAACUCCGUGCCAGCCGCCGCGGUAA